ACUACAACUAGGUAGACAGGAUCAAUAUGGAAGAUAGUACGAAGCUAAACAGAUAUAAGUCUUCACAUAAUGAAGUCAAACAAAUCAGGCGGGCAAGCAAUGACUUCACGAAGACAAACUGAAAAGUAAGGAGAGUAGGGGAUAGAACCAGUUGCUUGGUGAAGACAAGGAUUUGGUAGACCAGUUCCAGUUGUUGUGACAACUGUACGUCCGGUUAGGGAGGCUGAGAUUGAACUCAGAAGACUGUGUCUUCACCUUAUUCCCCUUGAGCUAAGGACACCAAGUCCUCGCCCAAUCACUCUGAUAAGUCUUCGAGGUAGACUUCCAAACCUUCACAGACUUUGUUCACCGGCAAUCCACAAUGACUCUUGGAUGCUCAGAACGCGUCGCCUAACUGACUGGAGGAUUCACAUCCCUCAAGUGUAACAAGUCUUUAGAUCACUCGGACAGAAAGACUUCAGUGAUGCCUAACACUCUUUGGCUCUGAAUGUUUUGGGCUUAGUCCUCGCAAGGAUCUCUCUCUCUCUCUCUCUCUCUCAAAUGCUUCGGAGGUGGGUUGCUCUCAAGCGACAAAAGCCGUGCACUAACUCUGAGCAGCCACCAAUUUAUGGUGUUGGGGGUGGGAUAUUUAUAGCCAGGAGGCAACCUGACCUGAUAUGUUCGAAAUGACCCUGGGUCACUAAGGAACUGACACGUGUCCAAUGGUCAGAUUUCAAACUCACGCGGCAGCUUGGCUUGAGCUACAAGCAAAGCUGACUCAUCUAGCUCUGGAUAAGGUUUGCUCUCAUUGUGUUCGCUCCAAGACAUAGGAUUUGGUUGAGAAUCACUUCAGUCACUCUGACUUUGUUCACUUGGACCCCACUUAACAAUACGGUGGUUCAUAUGACUCAAUAAAGAAGAAAGGAAACUACGAAACAGCUAUGUCUUUGCACUCCAUAGUCUUCAAAUGAAUAUCUUCACAUGUCAUAAUCUUCGUCGAGAAUGUCUUCACGAACCACCAUUGUCUUCAAUGUCUUCACACAUUUUUAGGGGUCAUCUCCGGUAGGUAAACCGAAUCAGUGAGGGACUACUUCCUGUGUUAUCCUGCAAUUCUCACAAACACAUUAGUCCCUCAACCACGUUUGUCGUUAAUACUCCAAAACCAACUAGGUGUGGCACUAGAUGCACUUACAAUCCCCCCUUUUUGGUGAUUGAUGACAAACUGGUUGAAGUUUUCAAUGGGGAUAAAAGUAUGUGAAAGUUUAGUUUUGUGAGCAUUGUCUUCAUACAUAAAAAGAGGCUCCUCCUGAAGAUGUGCAUAUAAGUAGUUUUCUUUUGAAUGCAAAUGCACAUGGAAGGUUUUGCUUUGUGGAGGCCUUCUUCAAAGUGUGAAGACAAUUCAUCAUGCAUAUAUGAAGGUAAUGAAGAUAAUGAUAUGCAUAAUGGAAAAUGGACGUAUGCAGAAUGACUUCAUGCGGAAUUUAUCAUCGCAUCACAAAGUGGUAGCAAGAGUAGCAGACGACCAUCAGGUUCAAGUGUUACAACUCAAAAGCCAAAAGUUUCAAAACGAGAGUUGUAAGAACUUAGCAAAAAUAAAGCAACCACCCACAUGGACCCGCUUGAAGACUAUCAACUCAUAUGCUUCUCCCUCUUUCGUCAGUAAUGAACAAAAAGGUUUGAAGACAUAGAGUAUCUACUCGUUCCCAGCUGGAGUAGAGAAUGGAGCAGGGUCGAUGUUGGAGUUUGGUGGUGCAGACGGGCCUGGCGCAGCAUCGUGAUGUAGUGAAGUUAAUGCUGGGGAAGUGGCAUCAUCUUCCUCAAAAUGCAAGUUGGCGUCACACACCCUCCAUUGAAGAUUCUGAGUGCUAAUCUUUGGCUACAACUGUUGUUGCGAGAGUCAUCGAUGAAGAAGAUGACGCCACUUCCCCAUCAUUAACUUCACUACAUCACGAUGCUGCGCUAGGCCCAUCUGCACCACCAAACUCCAACGUCGACUGUGCUCCAUUCUCUACUCCAGCUGGGAAUGAGUAGAUACUCUAUGUCUUCAAACCUUUUUGGUCAUUACUGACAAAAGGGGGAGAAGCAUAUGAUUUUAUAGUCUUUCAAGCAGACGACCAUCGGGUUUAAGUGUUACAACUCAAAAGCCAAAAGUUUCAAAACGAGAGUUGUAAGAACUUAGCAAAAAUAAAGCAACCAACCAUAUGGACCCGCUUGAAGACUAUCAACUCAUAUGCUUCUCCCACUUUUGUCAGUAAUGACCAAAAAGGUUCAAAGACAUAGAAUAUCUACUCAUUCCCAGCUGGAGUAGAGAAUGGAGCAGGGUUGACGUUGGAGUUUGGUGGUGCAGACGGGCCUGGUGCAGCAUCAUGAUGUAGUGAAGUUAAUGCUGGGGAAGUGGCAUCAUCUUCUUCAUCGACGGCUAUCGCAACAACAGUUGUAGCCGAAGAUGAGCACUCAAAAUCUUCAAUGGAGGGUGUACGACACCAACUUGCAUUUUGAGGAGGCCUGGAGUCAAACUUGAAGUUCUCGGUGAAGCCAUCCUCGCGAAGAUCAUCUUCAGCACAGAGAAAGGUGAGGCUCUUCCAGGACCGCCGACAGGCUUCAUGGGCCACAAAUGAGUUCUUGGUGGCCAAGUUGCAAAUUCGAUUGACAUCCACCAAGAUACUUUGCAUCUGACGCUUCAGCUAGUCAUGAUGCUUGUCCUGCUUUUGAUGUAAAUCCACCAGAAGCUCCUGGUCAUUGAGAACACGAGGACGCUUCUGAGGCCUUUGAGCUAUUGUGCUUGCAGUGGCUUCAGUAUUGGCACGGUGCGGUACGCGCAGGUUGCCAUCCAAAGGAUAAGCAGGAGUUGCAGCAUUGGGCACAUGAAUACCUUCAAUGGGUUGUGUGAAGCUCUGGAAUUCGGCAUUCUGAAGGUGGAGGGGCUUCUUGGUAGGCUCGGGGUAGAUGGCUUCAAUAGACAUAUCAACUUUAGGCAGAAAGACAAUAUGGUUGCAUGCUGAAGGCUGAUAGUCAAUUGUUGAACGAAGCUUAAUCAAGCGCAUCACCCAUGGAGCAUAGAAUUUCAGACCAGACAGAUCAAUCCCACAAGCAGCAAGUUGUCUAAUGAAGAAAUUCUGAGUGUUGAAUGCGAUGCUAUUGAUGAUAUAGAAUACCAAAGUGUUCAUGGCACCUACAAGUUUGGCUCCAGAAGAAUUUCCUUUGAUAGGCCAGAGAGUACGCUUCAAAAUAUGGUACACUAUGCGCGGCAAGUACUUAAGGUCCUUGAUAAAGAACUCCUUUGGGUAUUCAGCGUCUUGGGGUAAUGGCUUCAUCAUGCUAAGCAUUUGGCUCAUACUUGGCUCUGGCAUCUGAAAGAUGCACUGCAGCUCAUUCUGAUGAAGCUGACAACCAGGUUCGUAUAACUCACCUCGAGCGGGCAGGGAAGUAAGCUCGUAUCCUGAGCUUUGGCUUCGUGAUGUACAUCACCUGUCAUCCACUCAAGGAUCCAAGUCUUCGGAUCCCUGUUGUGGCCUCAAAUGUGUAGAGUGGCAUAAAACUGCAGUAGAAGCUCUUCAUUCCAGUGUUCCUUAUCAGUCACAAAAGCCAGAAUACCAACAUCCCGAAAGCAGUCAAGGGCCUCUUCAAGACAUGGCAGACCAGCCAUAGCAUCACAAUCCAGACGUUUGUGCGGAAAGAUCCGGUCUUGGUUGUACAGGAUGCAAGAGUAAUAGCUUCAUUGUUGAUGGCUCCAAAAUCUAUUAGAGGAGAUCUUUGGCUUCGUGUACCUGUUCUUGGAGUUGUCGAGAAAGAUUGUGCUAUGUGAAGCUGAGUAUGCUGAAUGAGCCUUGUGUUGUGACAGCACUUGGAAGCCUUGGCAGGCGUGGAUUUGGCUUCUGAACUUGAGGCCUCUGCUCCACAUGAUAAUAAUACUAGGGUGCUGUAGCAGUAGGUGGAACCAUAAUUGGCCAUCUGACAGUGACAAGCUGACCUUCACGAUUGAAAGCCCUUUCCAUGGUAUGAGGAGGUGGUGGAGGAACAGCGCCAUCUCAGGUGAUUGGCGUCACGGUGACUUCAGCAUUCACAUUUGCUUCAGGCUCCACAUUGUCUUCAGCCAUGAUAGGGUCAUUGGCUUCAGUAGCGUUGUUGGUGGCAGCCUGAGUGUUUUCAACCUCCAUCUGUUCAACAACUAGAGGAUCGGGAAUGAUCACAUUCUCUUCAAGAAUGACCUGGUCAUUAGCAGGGGGUGUGGCUUCUUGGUCCUCUUGGACACACGAGACUGAUCUUCAGAUUGCACACUGGAUUCAGGAGGUGCAGUUUUCAGAGGCUUCUUCGUCGAAGCUUUUGGAGCAGCAGCAGCAGAGGGCUUUGAAGCUUUUGCCUUUUUCUUCUGCUUCAGCAGCGAGGGAGCAUCUUCAGAGUCUGCGUCUUCAGCAGAUUGCUCCACUGCAGCCCUCUGGACAGCAAUGUGGGACAGAAGCCCAUCAAAGUUGGUAAAGUGGCCAAUUAUGUUCUCAUUGGCUUCAUGAGUACCAUCUGAUCUAGGAGCAGAUGGGUCAGGGUUGAAGUCGAGGCCAAACUCCUUCUUGUUCUUGACAGCUGAAUCCUUUGCGAACUGAAGGUUGCGCUUGAAGAGGUUAUCGUCACGACACCAUAAAAGAGAUGAUGGGUCGGCAUUCUCAGGCUGUGGUCCUCGGACCAUGCAAGGAUAGAACUCCUGAGCAAUAGCUUCAGCCUUUGUCUUCGGUAGCAAAUUUCUGUACAGACAAUCGCCCCAUGGGUGCUUGAUGGUAUUCUUCUUAGCAUACUCAGGUGUCACAAAGUUGUACGUGAACCAUUGCUCUGCCCAAUAUCUUCGGAUCCAUUGGAUCCUGUUCUUGUGUUGUGUAUAGCUCUCUUUAGGGUCAGACUUGUAGAGCUCAUACAAUUCUGAGGGCAGGUCUAGUGUUGUAUUGCCUCGGUGUUGCCUGCCACCUUUCCAUGCAGACUUCUCAGAAGCCAUAAUAUUCAGAAAUAUAGGCUUCAGAACAGUGAAAGGCUUCCGUCUACUGGUCAAACAGGAGCUGGCUACAGGAGAUUCAAUGUGACGCUGUAAGAAUUCUGUAAAUGAAUGCAGACAAUGAGAACCAAGGGAUUCUCCCACGGACAUGUACAUGUGACAGCAUUAGAGAUGCGAGGGAAGGGGAAGAGGUCAUAUGCAUUCUCAGAAGUUUUGAAGAUAAAUUAGUUAGAAGACAUUGACCUCACAGUGCGAAGACAUUCACUUAUUGAAGGAAGUUGGCUCCAGAUUUGUAAGAAUCCAAGAGUAGGUACAAGUGAGGUAUCUAACUAGUUAUGAAGCAUAAGUGAACAUACUUUGCAAUAUACGAGAUUCAGAAAAAGACAUAUCCAGAUUUGAAGAUGUAGAAACCACUUUUGGUAGAAGUGGAUGGAUUUGACAAAUCAAAAAGACUGUAAAAAGUGAGAUUUAAUUACCACACACAAACUGCUAGAUGAGGCAGAUGGAAGGCCGAGCAGUCCAAUCUCCCGCGCCCUAACUUGGCGGCGGAAGACACCUACGGCAGCGGCGGAGAAGACGAGGUCCGCAGCCGGCGUGAGGACGGCGUCGAAGAGGUCACGGCAGCUAAGCACUUCGUCUCCGGCGUCGACAUGAGCUAGCGGUGGUGCUAGGGUUUGAGCGAGAUGGCGAGGUGGAAGAAGGAAAUAAUGACCGCGAGGGGGCACGUAUUUAUAAGAAGGAGGAGGGCAGCGCAGCGCAAUUAUGUAGGUGCCCCUGGCGGUUAACAUUUGAAGGACACGUGGCAUGCAUGCAACUUAUCAGGAGUUGAAUAAUGUUCCCACGCACGCCUGGAUUGUCGGGUGGUCAUUCCGGCAUCUCCGGUUUUCAGGCAAGGGAUAAGACAUUAAAAGCAGUUUUAAAAGAGUGUCUCUCUAUCUUCUGCUGACAAGGACACAGAGAAGAUAUUCGAUAAGUGUCAAUAGAAUGCAUAUGACUUAGACAGAAAGAAUUUGAGGGAGUAGCACAGAAGGGAUUUGGGUCCGGUCACAUUCACUUGUCAGAAAAAAAUAGCAUCGUCAAGACAUGGCUAUAAGUGAAUGUUGUAGAGGACAGAACACAUAUAUGUAGUAUUGAAGAUAAAUCAACGUUGCGAAGAUAUAGAUUUUGAAGAUAAAUCAAUGUUGAAGACAAUCCAAAUGCAAAGAUAAUGCAAUCAUGACGCCAACUGGAAAUCUUCAAGAAAUUGUGGUGGUGGCGUUACCCACCGUAUAGGAAGUAUUAGACCCAGACACGACGCACAAUUAUGGUGGCGCUCCGAAGUCAAAUUCCACAUUAAUGUAGUCACACUUAGAGGGUAAGUCUUCAUUGAUUGAAAAAAUACGUUACUUCAUGUGUGGCACAUCUAAGUCAUCAAUAUGCAUAAGCGUUAGGAUGUGUGUCCAUUCACUGGACAUUUGAGGAUUCUAAGAUAUUUAGCUCACACCACGGCUUGCAAAACCUCUUCUCAUCCAAGGACUUCGUGAAGAUAUCUGCCAGUUGCUCUUCGGUGUUGAUGUGAAUGAUAUCAUUGUCUUCCUUGUUGACAUGAUCUCUGCGAAAGUGAUGACGAAUCUCAAUGUGUUUUGUCUUCGAGUGUUGAACUAGAUCAUUGGAAAGCUUGAUGGCACUUUCAUUGUCGCAGAAGAGUGGCACAUUCUUCGUGUUGAUGCCGUAGUCCUUGAGAGUUUGCUUCAUCUAGAGAAGCUGAGCACAUCAAGAUCCAGCAGCAAUGUAUUCAGAUUCAGCAGUGGAGACGGAUACACAAUUCUGCUUCUUUGAAGACCAAUAGACAAGAGAUCGUCCAAGAAAGUGACAUGUGUCUGAUGUAGACUUGCGAUCGACCUUGUCACCAGCAUAAUCAGCAUCAGAAUAUCCAACUAGAUCAAACGAUGAGCUCUUUGGAUACCAUAAUCCUAGUGUUGGGGUGUGAGCCAAAUAUCGAAGAAUUCGCUUCACAGCAAGGUUCCUUUGGUGCCGCUUGGAAUCGGUCACACAUGCAAAUGCUAAGCAUAAUAUCAGGCCUAGAUGCACAUAAGUAUAGCAAAGAACCAAUCAUGGAGCGGUAUACCUUUUGAUCGAACUCUACCAUUGUCGUCAGGGCCAACAUGACUUUUGAUUGGCAUUGGCGUCGUGUACCCUUUGCAGUCUUGCAUUCCAAACUUUUUCAGGAAAUCUUUGAGGUAUUUUUCUUGCGAUGUGAAGAUGCCAUUGCCUGUUGACGGAUUUGAAGACCUAGGAAGAAUUUCAGCACCCUCAUCAUGGACAUCUGAUAUUGCUCUUGCAUCAUGUAUCCAAACUCAUCAUUGUAUCUCUUAUCCGUGCAGCCGAAGAUAAUGUCAUCCACAUAUAUUUAGCACACAAACAGUUCACCAUCAUAUGUCUUCGUGAAGAGAGUGGGAUCUAGAGAGCCAGGUUUGAAGCUUUUGCUCUUCAGCAAUUCUUUGAGUGUAUCAUACCAAGCGUGAGGUGCUUGUUUGAGGCCAUAUAGUGCCUUGUUGAGCUUGUACACCAUAUCAGGGUGCUUAGGAUCUUCAAAACCAGACGGUUGAGCGACAUACACUUCUUCUUUGAUUUUGCCGUUGAUAAAGGCACUCUUCACAUCCAUUUGGUACAGAAGAAUGUUGUGAUGGUUAGCAUAGGCCAACAGUAUGCGAAUGGCUUCAAGCCUAGCCACAUGAGCAAAGGUUUCAUUGAAGUCGAUUCCUUCCACUUGUGUGUAACCUUGAGCUACGAGGCGAGCCUUGUUUCUGACAACUUGUCCAAGUUCAUCUUGCUUUUUGCGAUAGAUCCCUUUAGUGCCAAUGAUGUUGUGCUUGUGAGGAUCAGGACGUUUGACAAGCUCCCAGACAUUAUUCAGCUCAAACUGUUGAAUCUCUUCUUGCAUAUCUUGAAUCCAUUCAGGUUCCAUGAAGGCUUCUUCAAAUUUCUUGGGUUCAGAUAUAGAGACAAAAGCAAAGUGACCGCAAAAGUUUGCUAGUUGUGUGAUCAAUAUAUCUAUUCAAUCUGGACUUCAUUUGCGGCUCGAGGAUGAGUUGGACGAAGAUUUUGAUUAGAUUGACUAUUGUCUUCAUCUUCAGCAUUGGCUUCAGACUGAGCAUUAUCUUCAUGUUGAUUAGGUGUAGAAAUGUUGAUCUCAUCCUCAGCCUGUUCCUCGGUGGGUAUGAUUCCUCGGUGGUGUAGCUUCAUCUAGCACAUUUGGCAGGUGCUUUCAAUCAGAAGUUCAUAAGAUGUUUUCUUGAAGAACUUGUGAAGAUAUACUCUGUUUAUGAUGUGGCAUGCAGUAUCAAUGGCUUCGGGCUAGAAUUUUCUUGGAGUCUUCUACUCAUCGAGCAUUGUCCGUGCCAUCUCAAUGAGUGUUUUGUUCUUGCGCUCCAGGAAGCCAUUCUGGUGAGGUGUGUAAGGAGCAGAGAACUCAUGUGUGAUGCCCAAAGUAUCAAGACAAGUGUCGAGGCCAAUGUUCUUGAACUCAGUGCCAUUGUCACUCCAUAUGUGCUUGAUUUUGAUGCCAUAAUUCGUCAUGGCCCGAUUUGUGAAGCGUCUGAAGACAUCCUGCACUUCAAUCUUAUAGAGAAUCAUGUGCACCUAGGUGUAUCUCGAGUAAUCAUCAACAAUAACGAAGCCAUAGAGAUGUGCAGUAGUAGUAAGGGUAGAGUAGUGAGUAGGGCCAAGUAGGUCCAUGUGAAGCAGCUCGAAGGGGCGUGAGGUAGUCAUGAUUGUCUUCGAGGGAUGCUUGGCUCUAGUCAUCUUCCCAGCUUCACAGCCACCACACAGAUGAUCCUUCUUGAACUUGACGCCCUCGAUGCCAAUGAUGUGCUUCUUCUUCGCGAGAGUGUACAGGUUCCUCAUGCCCGCAUGUCCUAGCCGUCGAUGCCAUAGCCAGCAUUCUGAAGCCUUUGCUAGAAGACAUACGGCAAGCUGUGGUCCUGUGAGAAAUCUACCAUAUACAGAUCACCUCUUUGAUAGCCUUCGAAGACUAGAGAUUUGUCAGAUUCCAUUAGCACAAGACAAGAUAUUUUCCAAAUAUCACAAUUAUGUUCAGAUCACAGAGGAUUGACAUGGACAUUAAGUUGUAUCCAAGGGAUUCAACUAGCAUCACUUUAUCCAUGUGCUGAUCCUUUGAAAUAGCAACUCUACCAAGACCCAGUACCUUGCUUUUACCAGUGUCAACGAAUGUGAUGUGGCUCUUAGUAUAUGGACGUAGGGUUGAAUCCAUCGGAAGACUUCGAUCGCCAUUCAUGUGGUUUCCAUUCAGUGCCUUCCGGAGUUGUGCCCUAUAGUGCAGUUAGCGGGAUAGGCUUCACCAAGAGUAUUGUGAAGCAGAAACAUGUAGCGAACAAGCAUAUUAUCAAAGUUUAAAUUCUGGUUAGGCAUGAUAGGAUGCUUGUCAAGGAACCCUAGGACGAAAUACAUGAUAAGACCAUUGGAGCAUUUUAUCUUGCGUCCCACAAAAUGUUUUAGGUCUCCAGCAUUUUCGUCAGAAGAUUUUGCUUUCCGGCUGGAGACCUUUCCCUGCAAGAGAAGCUAAUUCUUCUUAACCACCCACAUCUUCAGGGGUGGCUUAGAAGCAAUGAGUCUAAGUGCAGCAUCUGAGAACUUUGGCUUGGGAGCCCUAGCAAAUAGCUUCGCAGGAGGAGAAUAGUACUCAUAUGAAUAUGCAGAAAAGUUCUUAGUUUUGUGAACAUAGUCGUUAGAGGAAGCACGCUCAUAUUCAUGAGUCUCAUAAAGGUUCUCCUGCAAAACAUUGGCGUUAGGGUGACCAUGAGUUGUCCUCUAUAUGUAUGAAGCCUUAGGUCUGGGGUUUGUCUUCUUCCCAGGUGAUGUCAUGAUGACAUUCAUGGGAAGCUUCUCAAGACAGCUUUUGGGCACCCAGAUCUUCUUCUGGGGUGACCCGUUCCUAUAGUUAGUACUAAUGUACCUAGCAAACACUUCACCAUUCUGAAUCUUAAACAGUUUAUAAUUGGCAUCAAAAGAAUUAUCAAUGACAAUUGGGUUAGCAUGAGUGAAGCCAGAUAAAGUGGAUGGAUCCACUGACGGAUCCUUAGCAGCAACCCGGGUGGUUUUGGGGUACUGCUCAGGCGUCCAAUAUGAACCAUCAACGUUCAUUUUCCUCUCAAACCCAACACCCUCUUUCCUAGGGUUUCGGUUCAGAAUCUUUUUCUUGAGGACAUCACACAAGGUUUGAUGCCCUUUGAGGCUUUUGUACAUGCCAGUCUUAAGCAAUGUCUUCAACCUAGCAUUCUCAUCAACAAUAGUAGUGGCAUCCUCGGUAGAGGGGUUAGUUACCACAUCAGCAGUUGAAGAUAUUGCAACAUCAGAAGUAGUAGAACAUCCAGCAAUAGAGACAACAUUAUCACGCUCAAGACACUUUAAGCAUGGUGGAACAAAUUCUACCUGAGCGGAACUGGUCUGUUGGGCGAGUAGUGAAUCGUUCUCUUUUUGAAGAUCUUCAUGAGACACUCUCGGUUUCUCAAGAUCAUGCUUCCUUUGAAGAUAAUCGUAGGAAAGCUUCUCAUGAGAGGCUGAGAGAGUUUCAUGACGACUUUCAAGUUCUUCAUACUUAACAUGAAGACUUUUAAUGUCUUCGAUUAAGGACUGAGUUCGAUUCAUUUCCGCGUCCAACAGGUCAUCGCUUUUGUCUAGUAGCUUUUGAAUAUGUUCCAUAGCAGUUUGUUGCUCAGUUGAAAUUUUAGCAAGUGUCUUAUAGCUAGGUUUGGAUUCACGAGGUUACCUUGACACCACGUGCCAUGAGGCAGUAGGUUGGAUCAAAUGGCUCGGGUUCAAAAGUCAUCGUUUUAAGAGACUCCUUGAAUUUGCAGAACCACGGGUCUUGAUGGGUUUGAUGACCCUCAUAGACAUCAGAAAUCUGGUCCCAGAUAAGCUUCGCAUUGCAGAGAUGCAUGAUGCGCCUAAACUCAUCAUUGGACAGAUAUGAGCAUAUGAUAUCCUUAGUCGUGAUAUCCAGUUGAGUUUACUUUUUAAUGUCAUCAGCAUUCGCCAUCUUGCAUAAAUCGGUGAGACCAAUCUCCGUGACAGUCCACAGCUCACUGUUAAUUGCAAGGAGGCGCUUCCUCAUCAUUGCCUUCCAUAUGGGAUAAUCAUGACCAUCAAAAAUAGGACACGCAGCAGAGACUUUGAUUAUCCCUGCAGUCGACAUAGCUAAAAACUCUAGGUGGUUAAACCGAAUCACACAGAACAAGGGAGUACCUUGCUCUGAUACCAAUUGAAAGUGCUAGUUAUCAACUAGAGGGGGGUGAAUAGGCGAUUUUUAUGAAAGUCUUCAAAACAUGGUAGCUUUGAAGACAAACAAGUAAACAUAACCUAUAUAGUAAGCAGCGGAAUGAAGACUACACUAGGCAAGCAUUAGUCAAGCAUACAAUAUAGUGAAAGCACGAAGACUAACUGCAACUAGGUAGACAGGAUCAAUAUGGAUGAUAGUACGAAGCUAAACAGAUAUAAGUCUUCACACAAUGAAGUCAAACAAAUCAGGCAGGCAAGCAAUGACUACACGAAGACAAACGAAAAGGUAAGGAGAGUAGGGGAUAGAACCAGAUGCUUGGUGAAGACAAGGAUUUGGUAGACUAGUUCCAGUUGUUGUGACAAUUGUACGUCUGGUUAGGGAGGCUGAGACUGAACUCAGAAGACUGUGUCUUCACCUUAUUCCCCUUGAGCUAAGGACACCCAGUCCUCGCCCAAUCACUCUGAUAAGUCUUCAAGGUAGACUUCCAAACCUUCACAGACUUUGUUCACCGGCAAUCCACAAUGACUCUUGGAUGUUCAGAACGCGACGGCUAACCGGCUAGAGGAUUCACUCAAGUGUAACAAGUCUUCUGAUCACUCGGACAGAAAGACUUCAGUGAUGCCUAACACUUUAUGGCUCUGGGUGUUUUGGGCUUAGUCCUCGCAAGGAUCUCUCCCUCAAAUGCUUCAGAGGUGGGUUGCUCUCAAAUGACAGAAGUCGUGCACUAACUCUGAGCAGCCACCAAUUUGUGGUGUAGGGGGUGGGAUAUUUAUAGCCAGGAGGCAACCCGACCUGAUAUGUCCGAAAUGAUCCUGGGUCACUAAGGAACUGACACGUGUCCAACGAUUAGAUUUCAAACUCACGCGGCAGCUUGGCUUGGGCUACAAGAAAAGUUGACUCAUCCAGCUCUGGAUAAGGUUUGCUCUCAUUGUCUUCGCUCGAAGACAUAGGAUUUGGUUGAGCAUUACUUCAUCACUCUGACUUUGUUCACUUGGACCCCACUUAACAGUACGGUGGUUCAUAUGACUCAACAAAGAAUAAAGGAAACUACGAAACAGCUAUGUCUUCGCACUCCAUAGUCUUCAAGUGAAUAUCUUCACAUGUCAUAAUCUUCGUCGAGAAUGUCUUCACGAACCACCAUUGUCUUUAAUGUCUUCACACAUUUUUAGGGGUCAUCUCUGGUAGGUAAACCGAAUCAAUGAGGGACUACUACCUGUGUUAUCCUGCAAUUCUCACAAACACAUUAGUCCCUCAACCACGUUUGUCGUCAAUACUCCAAAACCAACUAGGGGUGGCACUAGAUGCACUUACAAUAUUUAGUCCCAACAGAAAUACAUGGUUGUAAGCAUUAAAACCCCAUGCCCAUACCUCUUUUUAUUAUAAGUGUUUCAUCACCAUUAGCUUGAUUGAUCCGGCCAAAAGCAGGAUUAUUUCUUUGACAGAAGCUUGCUAGAAACCAUCACUUCAGGGGGACCUUCCUCUCUCGGAUUCAAUAACCCAAUGUCACCUCUUUCGGGAAAUAGGUGUAGGGUACUUUCUGUUCCUUUACCGGAUCACUAAAAAGGGAAGUACCAUCCAGCAUGGUGCUCGGUAGGGCACGACGGCUUGUUUUGCAUCCUGUGGUCCUACGUUCGGUCGGCCAUUGAUGGAUCUGAUGCCUCAUGCUAGAGCUUAGCCACCGCUGGCCUCUAUGAGGUGCGGUUGGCUGCGGCAGAUCUCGGUGCUUCUUCAUCGGCAAGCGGGUUUGAUAGUGGUGGUUGGUGGUCUUGCCAGUGCUGGUGCUUGUUGAUAUGUGGCGGAGGAUGUGUUGGGGGCUUGGGUGAAGGCUAAUGCCCUUCGGGAUCCGGUCCAAAUAGCUACCUUUUACCUAAGGAGUGACCCUAGGUUAUCGAACCCACGAGAGGAUGUGCACUACGACUGAGAGUCAAACAAGUUAUUGUUGUUGAAUUAAAUUCUAGUUUUUAACCAGACCUUUAACAACCUUUUUGGAAGUAGACACUGGUAUGAAAUAGGCAUGCGUAUGAGGUCUUACUCUCACAACCUUAUAGUUGUGAUUGGGAUCUCAUCUUGAUAAUAAACAUAGCUCUGUAAGAUUACCAUUGCGGUGUGUUUGCUACGCGAUGAAGUGGGGAUGCGUCCAAAGAACGUCUUGACCGGUCACGACCUGCAUCAAAAGUUAGUUGUCCAACUGGUGGCCCUUACCGUCGCGUGGGGUUACCUUGGUUAAUUAUUAAGAAUUACUUCAAACAAGAGCAUUGCGCGUUUAAGGACCACACCUCAUUUAUCCCCAAGGAAUUGAUUCUCGCUAUCGUACUAAUCCCUUCUCUCACUGUUGUUCAGAAUAGCGUUCCCCGCAUCCUCGCUUCUUACCUCCUCUUGAUCGAUAUACGAGUCAUGGGUACAUGUAGGGCCUUAGAAACUCCGUUGAAAUCAAACACAUACAAAUAACCUCAAAUACACGAAGUCAUUCCAAAGACCUCUGUGCACAAAUACAUUCAGUUGCAAGGCCUUGCCUCAACUCAUUGCCUUACCGAAUUAGUCCUACAUGACAAUCAGAUCGCAAGAUGAACUCAUUGAAGACAAGAUGAAGAUGAAUGAUUGGUUUUAUAAUACGUCUUGCAAUAGUUGUUAGUUGCAAUACACCGAUUGCAAGUAUGACUAACUUGGAGAGAAUGGUUGCACCGAUGAAGGUGGUGGCGGCUAUAAAAGUGAGAUUGGAAAUGGCGACGUCUAUGGUUGGAAGAUGACUUCUAGUUCUCUAUUUCACGAAUGGUGGCUCUCACGUUGAGAUUCUUGCAUGGACCCCCAUUAUAGAAGUUGGUGAGGUAGACGCCCUUGAGUCGACGGCAUAUGUGGUACGAGCGUGCGCGCUCGUACCGUGUUGCCUUCUUCUCUACACUUCUUGUUUCCUCCUAUAUGAUGAUAUUCUUUCAUAUUUGAACCCAUUUCUUGUGGGAACACAUUAAUAAAGGAUUCACUUUCCUUACAUUCAUUAGUCAAUAAUAUCAAUAUCAGAGUGAUUCUCUCGACAGUAAAGAUGACAAGGGGAGCGAUGUAGGAGAUGCGACAAAGGUUGAUGUAGUCGGCUCUUCUCCAACGUGUCGUGGGAUGGCCUCGGUUUGUUGUUGUCAAGUCUUAGCAGGGUGGGAUGGCCUCGGUUUGUUUUUGUGAAGUCUUAACAGGGCCCGGUGGCAUACGGAUGACAAGCCUUGCCGUUCUCCGUUUUGAUGAUCUUCCACGGGGUCAGUCAGCCUUGCCUGGAGAGUUGCGCUAUCAUAUAUCCAAACGGCCCUCUAAGAAGUGAUGACAACGCUGCCGAUGCAUUGUAUGUCGACGCAUUGUCCCAACAAGGCCCUCAAAGUUUGUGCCACUCUGGCGGUCUGCUGAUGGUAUUUUUUGUUAAUUAACUAAGCAACUCUCUUUUGCUUUCCUUUGCAGAAAAAAAUGCUGGCAAGGGUAAGAAAAAACUAGCCAACUUAAACUGACUGCUAAGCACAGUUUUCAGAAGCGUGCAGUUGAUCAUGAAAAAGAAAACAACCAACCAAGUGGACGCCCUAGUCUGAGAAGGUGGGUCACAUCUCGCUUGUGCAAAUAUUAGAGCACGGAUAGCAGAAGGCAAAUCAGAAUCCACAGUAAAUCUCAGGCAAAAAAAGGGUGAGAGAAUAACAUAACAGAACAUCAUCGCACCAAGUACAAAGAUAAUCCUUGACUAAACAGCCAACAGAACUGAAUCCAAAGUAUCGUCUAAACUGCAAAAUCCCAGAUGAUUCACUAGGACAAAACACUAGUAGCAACUUAUGCUUCAGUCUGCUCCCUCAAGCGACGGAUAGUGCUCCUGACAGUGACCGCACUGGCAGUGCUGCAAACAC
rnacentral:lncRNA from 1 species